rnacentral:rRNA from 1 species
CGGGCUGGAACCUCUCGGGGUUACAGCCUUGCUGAAUUAUUCACCCUUGUCUUUUGCGUACUUCUUGUUUCCUUGGUGGGUUCGCCCACCACUAGGACAAACAUAAACCUUUUGUAAUUGCAAUCAGCGUCAGUAACAAAUUAAUAAUUACAACUUUCAACAACGGAUCUCUUGGUUCUGGCAUCGAUGAAGAACGCAGCGAAAUGCGAUAAGUAGUGUGAAUUGCAGAAUUCAGUGAAUCAUCGAAUCUUUGAACGCACAUUGCGCCCUUUGGUAUUCCAAAGGGCAUGCCUGUUCGAGCGUCAUUUGUACCCUCAAGCUUUGCUUGGUGUUGGGCGUCUUGUCUCUAGCUUUGCUGGAGACUCGCCUUAAAGUAAUUGGCAGCCGGCCUACUGGUUUCGGAGCGCAGCACAAGUCGCACUCUCUAUCAGCAAAGGUCUAGCAUCCAUU